CCAUAGGGGAGCCUCGCUACAGAGGCUGAGAAAUCGAUAGGUCCGAAGGCAUUAUGCCAAAGGCCGGUGCGAUGACCCUUUUAACCUGAUCCGGAUUAUGCCGGCGGAGGAAAUGGGAUUU
rnacentral:ncRNA from 1 species